UCUGCCUGUGGAGUUCCUGUUCCCAGUAUCAUCUGCCCCAUUCCAUGGUCUUCCUUAUCUUCUAGGGAAGAGCACAUUCUUUUUCAGAUUUGUGAGAAAGGACUCAGGGGCAUUCUUUUGAGGCAGUCUACUACUCAGUAAGCUUGAAUCCUAAUGUCUGACUUAAUGUGUGAAUGGCUACAGAAUUUUUAACUGGAAGAUGGCUACCAGUGCUUUUAGGUAUUUGGCUGGUCUGCUGCUUCCUCCCAGCAAUGCCUAUUCUCAUGGCCAAGGAACCACAGCUGCUAGCCUAUGGAGAUGUCUCUGGUACACUUUACAGAGCAUUGUCCAGUCUCCAGCAAUCACAGAGACCUUCACUUAAAACAGGUAGAAAGCCUCUUUGGGCACCAAGUGGCGCCUGAACAGGGACCCCAAAGCAAGGCCGACUACAGGACGAUGGAGAUAAGAGAGCUGCAGCGGGAAUCAAGGACUCUUCAGGCCGUACCGCUCGUGCGUCGCUGGAGAGGGAGUCGUGCCAGUGAUUGGAGGGAAAUGGGCAGGAGGUGCAGCUUAGACGGAUGCUGAUCUGCAUGCUGGGGUAGCUGAGAAUAAAUGAAGACUCCAAACAAAGGAAUCAACAUCCACGAGUCCCUGAAGCUCACUGAUGCAGAGGAUAGCAAGGCAGAAGGCAGGUGCUACCCUGGAGCACUCGGGAAGGACAGACUGCUGGAGAGCAAGCCUGCGGCCAGUUGCUCACUUCUUUCCUUCAGUUGAGUAAUGCCUGUAAGCCAGCUCCUGCCCGGUACACUGGGGUUUAUACCUAGAAUUUCAUUCUUGUAGAUGGUACAAAUGACAAACAAAAAAUUUUAAAAAGGUGUGGUUAACCAGAGAGGUGCUGAGAAUCUCAGGGUAGUGAGACGUGUCUGUUCUUACACGAGUGUUAGCACUUGAGCAGAUGCAGGAGAAUCACAGAAAAUAUCAUGUCAAGCAAAGAGCACAGAAACAGCUUCUAAAGAGAACAAGCUCACCAUGUUGGAACACCUUCCUGUUGGAGCCAUAUAACAGCUGACACAUAUAAAAGUCACCUUCCCAGUGACCACGUCCUGAACUUCCCAAGCUGUCAGAACCUCGGAGUUGAUGUUUUAACACUGAGUACUAAAAACAAAUUCUUAUCCCUCCAUUCCUCUACUAGAACUUCUCUGCUUUUCCUCUCCCUUCUUCUCCCUCUCCUUUUUCCAUCUUGGCUCCUGACUCUUUCUUGAUAGGUGCUCAUGUAUGUAUGUAUUUACAGGCAGAUCUUGAAUGUGAACACAUGAACACAUGCAUAUGUGUGCAUGCAUGAGUGUAUGGGUGUACGCAAUUCUCUUUUAAGCUCUCAUUGUGUUGUAUAGUCCAUGAUUAUUCUUUUUCAACAUGAGGCUAGAGCCUUAACUUUAUACUUUACCUUUGUAAAUCAUCUAUCAAUACAUUGAAUGCUUCACACAUGUGCCUUCAUGUUCAUAACACAGAUUGUGUCGUAGGGCUGCCAAUCCUGAACUUCUGGCCCAGUGCACGUGUGCUAGCCAAAGCACUGGAUUGUAUGCCAUACUUACGCAGCAUCCUUCAAAAGAUCUCGUAAAUGAGGAAAAAGCACAUUAAUCUAUGGAGAUAUUUCUAAGGUCCCACCUUACAGUCCAUUUUGACUCCAGAAGGCCUGCCUUUAGAAAUGUGUGGCCCAUCACUCCAUCUGGGUGUUUAAUCUGUAUCCAGUUAUGUCUUCUCUUCUGCUUAUUUGCAGCACCACUCUCUGCAGUCAGAGCCUCACGGCCUCCUUGGACUCCAGCUCUCUGGUCUGUUUCAUGUUUAUACCAGUCAGUUAAGCCCUCAUGCUCAUCAUGACAUGAUUUUUUUUCAUGUUCUCGUGGAUAUUUCUUACUAUGCAGGCCCUUGUUUCCUCUCACACGGAUUUCUCUAACCAGUCUCCUGUGUCCUAUUUCAGAAUAGCUGCAUGCUAAUGAGCCACUCUUCCCAUCACUACCUUCAACAUCUUUCUCUCUGAGAAUAAGCCCAAGCCUCUCUCAUUUUCUUGGUCUCCAGAAUAAAUGGUACAUCCCUAACCUGGCAGAGGCUACCCCAGCUUUUCUAAAGCCAUCUUCUUGGGUGGUUUUCCUCUUACUAUAUCUGUGAACUGACCUGCAAACUUAACUGCCUGCCUCCUACUGAAAUCCCCUCCAGCCUCAAAGACCUCAAAGACCAUGAAGCCUUGGCCUACCAUCUGUGGAGGUCUGCUGUGCUCAAUCAAGUUCUCUAGUUACCCCUCCUCUUGUCUUAUAGUCAUUUAGGAAGACUGUCCCUUCUUUGUAGCUUGUGAGCUUCUUCAGAAUAGCAACUUGUUUUUUCAACUACAUUUCCUCUAAUAUCCAAGAUUAGAUUCAAUAAAAUAGAGGCUAUGUAUAUAAUUAGAGAAACUUGAAUGACAAUCUAGUCAAAGUAAAAGGCUUUUAUGUUUUGUUUGCCCAGAAACCACUUUUCAUUUAAACAGCUUUCAAUAACUGCUUUUAAAGUGCUGCUCAGUCAAGGACAGGGAUGGGUGCUUGCAAUCCCAGCACACACAAAGGAAGGCAAGAACAUGAGUGUUUACCACAUUAGUAUGCUGGUUUCUGGAAACAAGAACUGCAAUUGAACUCAGUGCUAGAGAGUUUGCCUAUCAGGAAUCAGGCCCUGAAUUCAAUCCUUAGUGUCACAAGAAAGAGAAUAAAAAUCAUGUUGCUUUCAUGGGCAUAGGUUCCUGAAAGUUUAUAUUGUGUGUGUACAAUUUGUCUGCAUGCACGCAAAUGUUUAUAUUUGCAUAUGUUUUGUGAUUUUGCUGUGAUAGAUAUAAUGUUAACAAAGGGCAAAGAGACCUUAAAAAUUCACAUAACGCAUUGGGAUAAUCAAUGAAUUCUCAUUAGGUAUUAUCAUUAAUCCAAAUAGACUAUCUACUAUAGAUUAAUAAAUCGAAAUUAAAUAAAUAGAAGUCAAACUAUGGCCGCCAUCUUGGCUUCCUCAUGCUGCUACUAGUUACUCUUAUUAGACUACACAUAUCUGAAAUCAAACAACUUACAAAUAGUAUUACCAACAACUUACAAAUAACGCUUAUUUUUGCUAACAGGUCAAGUGGUUUCAGUCUCUGACUGGUUAGUUCAAUUGCUUCUGGGUCUAUGGCAGGGUAGGAAUGUGUUGACACACUGUUUACCACAUUGCCAGAGCAAAACAGAAGAGCAAGGCCUAGCAUUUGUACUGCUCUUUCCAAGGCAUGCCCAUAUCCUGAAAUGUUUUUCACGAUGUUCUGCCUUUCAAAGAUUCUACCAUCUCUUAUAAUGCCAUAGGCUGGAAAUCAGACUCCUAGAACAUAGGCCUUUGAGUGUCAGGUAUCAAACCAGGGCACCUUUUUUCCUUUGUUGCUGGGAAUGAGCCCAUGACCUGGCUUAUAACAAUCUAGUGUUCUACCCAUGAGUUCCCUGACCAGCCUCAAACCACGCAUUCAACCUCCGGCCCCCAAAGACUUAUGUUCAUUCGUGAAAUGCAAAAAUCCAUGUGGUCCCUUUCACAGGCCCUCAAUGUUUUAAUCCUUUCAUCUUUGUUCAAAAGUUCAACUUCAAUAUCUCCCCCAAGAUCUAAAGCUAACUCAUCUGCAAGUUCUUAUACAAUCAAAAGUUACACUAAACCCAAAGUUUCCAUGAGCAGCCUGGAACAUUCUGGACACAAAGGCUGUGUUCUUCUAAGGCCUGGGCAGCUUCACUUCUGCAGCAGUCCUGACUUCAGUCUCCAUGCCUGCUGUUGGCCAGUAUACAUGCUGUCUACAGCUUACCUCAGGAAGAAUUUUGAACUGCUGGUAUUCCUAGCUUCAUGGGGUCUUCAUUGCAGCUUUGACUUUAUUCUCAUAGGUCCAUACACCAUGCUGGCAGGAGCUAUUUGCAGAAACUCCAAUGCUGCACAACUCAGUGCCUGGCCUUCUAGUUCCUUCUCUGAAAUGUUGAUAGAGCCUCCUUUUAUCUUUUCCUUAUUUUCUUCUGUCUACCUUGCAGAACUAGAAUGACCUGGAGGGUAUCGAAGUCUGCUAUUUGCUGGCUUGCACUUGGGUGCACUGAAACUCCUCCUGAGGCAGCCUUUGAGGGUCUCACUGGCUGAACAGAGGGCAAUGAGUCUCUGGCUGAUCCUGGGUAAGUAGGUCACCUCUGGCUCUGCUCUGAAAAGAGCAAGAAGACAUGGAAGAUUGCUGUGGAAUAGUAUCUUAUGGACAUGCUGGGCCUUGAAAGCUCGAGUUCCCUGCAUAAGUCCAGCACAAGAUGAAGCCAGUCAGAUUCCAACAUGGAUGAAGAGGGACUCAGGAGGAACUGCUGACUAGAUGAGGAUAUACUGGCAGUUGAUGGCUGCUGAGAGAGGAGUUUCUUGUUAAAGGUGUGUCCCCUGGUAAAUUAGCCAUGUGCUACUGGAUAGCUCUACUCCUAUUAGAGCAGCAGUAUUUUGACUCACCGGGUUCCAAAGUAAAAGGAGAAGAGUACAUGAAGUGGGGCAGGAUAUGAGAGCAGGCAUGGGAGUAGCACUGUUUUUGUUACAGUACAUGUUCUACGAUUUUCUUGUUUAUCUAUGAUAUGAUUUGUAGUGCUCAUGCUGAGAACAAUUUCACAAUUGUUCGUGUAUCAUUCAUUUUCUUCAUUCUUUCUCUUAAUAUGUAUUUUUAGGAAUAAUUAGGCAAGGAGAUAAAAAAUUAUCUCCAGGGUUGCUUUAAGUCUAAGUUCUUUCAGCUUGCUAGAAAGACAGGUUUGUAUUUAUCAGAGUGUUAAAUUCUCUGUGGAUGAAGAGAUGCUCAAAAGGAAUUCAAUUUAUAAGAGGUCAGAGAGAGCCUUCCAGAAAUGCUGAAAGAUGUAUAGGAAUGGAACCAUUUUCAGUUUACUGCAAUUAGUAGUGUAACAAUAUUCACAGAGAUGGAGACAGCAGCAAGCUGAAUGGUGCAAAGAAGGGCAGGAGGUUAUGGUUGCCAGGCAUGGAGAGCUGGUUUGGGGGAAGCUUGACAUUUCUACCUUCCGUCUUUGGAUUUUCUUUGGGAUAAGAAAAUAUUGGAAUAUUAAGCCAGGGGCUGCCUUCUACCCACUUUUAGAUACCACAUUGUAUGCUACUUAGGCAACAAGGUUGAACAGACAAGGUAUCAGGUAAUGGGCCCAGUUCUCAGCAACAUGCAAAUAAAAAACCUUAUUGCUAGUCUGUCAGAAGCUUUAGAGUGACCUCCCUCCUUAUAAUAUAAAAGGUUAUUUCCAGUGAGACCAAAAUUUUAAGGUAGAAGAGAGUAAGUAACUUAAAAUGACAUUGCUGACAUUUAAUUAUACUUUAAAGUCUGAGAAGAUUCCAAAAGUUGUCCCAGCUGAGCAAUGAAGAGCUCAUCCUAGAUGUGUAAAUGAUUGUCUGGGUCCUGGAUAAGACCAAAGGAGGAAAUACCACAGCCAACUGGGGUUUCACUAACAUUCCACAGACCUCUCUCUGACCAUCCCUUUGGUCUAGUCUCAGUUCGUUUUCCUGUAAUUUUAGUUCAUUUCCUCAUUUCCACCCUUGGGGAGGGUAAGGAGCAGAUGACUGUAAACCACCAGAUAAAAACCCUUUAUAAACUGAAGACACAUGAACUAAUCUCUCAGCCUGUACCUUCCUGGGGAAGGCAGCUACAGGCCUUGGAUUCCUGAGGCAGAACAAUAGGAACCCUUCAGGUUCUAUUCAUAGACCUGCCCUUCUCAACCCCCUACUUUGUUUUCCCCUAGUGACUGGCCUAUUUUGUCUCACAAGACUACCCACAAACAGGAUGGAUGAACAUCUUCAACUAAUGCAUCCUGCAGAAACACUUUGUUUUGCAUUGCUGAAUCUGUGAAUAGCAUUGAGUGAUGGGUUAUAUUGUUUUGUAAAGCAACAUGUUACUAUUUGAGACCAAGACAAUUCUAUAUACAUUUUGUGUGGAUCUAAUAAGCCAUAUCUUCCAUAUUACUCCAAUACUUCCAACCUCCCAGAAUUCUUGCAGCCAUAGACAUCAGAAAAUCCAUUGGCAUUGAUCUGUUGGAACACAGUAUUUUAUUGGGCCUUUCAUUCACAUGAGUGUCACUUCCAGGUGGAUGAGAUAUACAGCUUCCUUUUCCAGAAAUUGGCAGAGACUGUGGUAUAGACUUUGUAUUUGUAGAUAAGUCUUGAGUACACUGGCCAGAAUUUGUCCUAUGGAGUUAGACACUAUAGUCUCAAUCUGGUAACAAGAUAGUACUAGCUGAAGGACAGUAGGAGUUUAAACUACAGAACAGUUAUCGGGAGCCAUUUCUAGUCAUGUGUGAUGGAGACAAACAUGAAAUAUAGGAAAGUAGAGAAUAAAGUCUGUAGAAUACAUGCCCAACAUUUUGACUUUGCCACACAGCAAAACAAUUCAUGCUUGAGAAAUAAGUAAUUAAUCUUACUCUCCUUUACUCCCAAAUCUUACAAUAUGUUAAGUAACUUUCCAAUUUUCUGUUGAGCUGUACUCUUUUAACUACAUGCUACCUGUGGGCUGCAGGCUGGCAUAUUAUUAGUAAAUCAAUAACAACAACAAAAACAGCAACAACAAACUCAGAAGAAUUUUGUUGUGAGCAGCCUGGAGUAUUCUAAUAUAGUAAAGUAUAAUGCAAAAGAAAAAGACAUGAGGAAGCUAUCAUUGUAAGGCCAUUUGGAUUUGGGGAAUCCUAGAGAAGUAGGGAAUUAUGUCACUAUGCCACAGUGAUACAGAGUUAACAUGACCUGGCUUCUGAGGUAAAGUUUGAUAUGCAACAUUUUGUGCUACUCAAGGUGGACUUUCUUGCACAGUCUGUGAGAAUAGCACCCCUUAAGCACAACUUGCAGUUUUAGAGUUGAAUCUGGAUCUACAUUAGAUCUGGGAUUCCAGACUGUAUAGAUUUAAGUCACAUCUUUCAUCAACCCAGACACCCAACUGAGACCUCAGAGUCCAUGGGUAAAUUAAGUGACUAUUACAGAGGUUCUCCAUUUCCAUCUCUCUUUGUGAGGAGACUUUGGAGCCUCCCAAGGGAGGCUUCAGUUUUGGGCUCUUGCUCUCUGAGCCUGGAGCCUUGAGCACUUUUGUUGAUUCCUUCCUCUCCUGUGUUCUUGUUUAGUUUCCAGGCAACUGGUUACUUAUUAUAGAGCAAGUGCUCCUGUCAUUUCUUUCAUCCCUUGAUUUUGGGUUUUGUUUUCUAUGGUGGGGACACCAGCAGGCUGUGAUGCACUAAUGUGUGGUGACAGGACCCGGCCAUCUGACAACUGGGGCCCCAGUUCAGAACGGAGACCUUAGCACAGAUUUUGAACCAAAUUGAUCCCAUGUCUCUGAUCCAGCUGACAUGACUGUGCUCAUGUGAAAGGAAACACAUUCUCACCCCCACUAUCCUCAUGCCUUGUGUGUUUUUGAUAUCCUCAAAUCCUUCAGUGCUCACUCCACACUGUCCUUCAUCCACACCAUUUGUAAUCAAGCUUACACUGUAUCAUAGCAAGAUCAUCUGAGGUUAAUGAGCUCAGUAGCCCAUCUAUUCUUCCAAUCCUGAUAGAUUUUGCUGAAUGUUUUUUAAAUAUAAACAUGAAGACAAUCACUUUAUUAUCAUAAAAAUUUAAAGUGUACAUAUACUAGAAAUGUUGGGGCAUGGCAAUAUCCAGAAAAACUUACCUUAAAUCCUACAUUCAUCUUUAUAUGCUACAGGGUUUCAUGUGUACUAGACCGGCCUCCAAUGCUAACUUCCUAUCUAUGCAAAGCUCCUGACUCUACUCCAGAAUGCCAGGGUGAGAGUCACAUCCCACCAUGACUAUGUAUUAGUGAGAUUGAACUCAGGCCUCCUGCCUGCUAGGCAAGCCCUCUUCCAACUGAGCUCCUUGCUUACUUCACUUAUUUUAUCAAUAAAAAUUAUAGUGUCUUUUAAAGACAUUUCAAUGAUAUUCAUUUUAUAUAUUUGAAACAAAGUGUACUACUAGUGGAAUCAUAUUUUAAUAUAACAGAAUUAUCCAUUUAUGCUCCCGUGUAUGCACCAUCACUGUCAAGAUAACAAUUGGGUCCCCAGAGCUGCCUAAUACCCAUCUUUAGGCCCUGCUUGUGGUUGGCAAUUAUUUACUUCCUGUCGCUACACAUAUUAUGUGUUCUUAUGUACUUCUUCCACUAAAUGUUAUGGGAAGGACUUUGGUUCAAUCAUCAGGACAUGGGCUAUGAGAAAAAUGUCCUGGGGUCUCAAUAUCUGGCUUUAGUUGUUGAUUCUUUGAUAUAUCCUUUCAGCCCUUAAGCUGAGAUUCAGAAGUGGCUCUGUAGGGCAGCUAUGUGCAUAUAGCACUGAGUCCUAUAUACUUUUUGUUAGAGAAAGUUCUUUCUAAGACCCCAGUGACUAUCAUUUCUUAAGAAAGUAGUUGGUUCAUUCUCCUCAAGGAUUCUCCAAGUGAACAUGGCUCACUGCAUCAACUAAGCAGGGAACAUGUGAGCUUACAGAGACUGAAGCAGCAAGCAUAGGGCCUGCAUGUGUCUGCAUCAUGUUCUCUGUGUAUAUGUUAUGACUGUUAGCUUGGUACUUUUGUGGGACAGCUAGCAGUGGGAGUGUGUGUAUCUCUGAUUCUUGCAUGAUCUUGUGACUAUUAAUUUGUCUUGCCCAGCUUCAUUAUGAGGGUUUAUUCCUAGUAUUUUUUCAUCUUGUUAUGCCACGUUCAGUUGAUUUCACUGGGGAGCCUGCUCUAUUCUGAAGAGAAAUAGAGGGGAGAGUGUGUGGGUCAGGGGUAAAGGGAUGUAGGAUGUGCUGAGAGGAGUACAAGGAGGAGAAACUGGUCAGGAUGUAUUGUGUAAGGGAAGAAUUAUUUUCAGUUGAAGAAGGAGAAAGGAGGAGGAGGGGAAGGAGGAGGAGGGGCAGGAGGAGGAAGGGGAGGAGGAGGAGGAGAAUUCUUCAAGUCCAGCUGCUUUCUAUAGAGAAUUCAUUUGACCCUUCAUUGAAUUUUCUAGAUACGUCAGCAAACACAUAGUUUAUCCCUUCAAAUCAUAACAUUUUUGCAAAGAAUCAGGAUUCUUGAUACAAAUUAUUAUAAAAUUAGAGAAAAAAUUAUUCCUAGGGAAAGACUGUGUAGCUAGAAAGGUUAAAUCAGACACUGUCAGACCUACAAGCUUCUUCCAAUAGCCAUCUUACAUGGAGAAUGAGCUUUUGACAUGUGUGUCUCCAGAGAUUGGUGGUAAAAAAGAAAGAGGUCCAUAAAUCAUGGAAAGAACUGCUCCUGCGAACAGCUUCUGGGGAAAACUCUCUCCAGAAAGUGCAUUAGCCUCUGCUUCCUGCAGGGCUCACAUGCUGUUGACUCUAGACCUUCAAUGUUGAUACCUGUGUGCUCCUUCACAGAUUAAUACAGGUGAGGUCCUGAUCAUUGAUCUCUGUCCUUCCUGACGACUUACAUUUUAGCUCAAUCCUUUGUUGUCUAGUAAACACACACUGGAUUUGGAGGAUGAAACAGAGUUCAGCUGUCUUUAGGACAUUUGAGCGCUUCAGAAAAGAAAUGGAGAAAAGUUUAGGCCAUGGAUACAUGGAUACCAUUGAAGCCACAGAUAGCCUCAUGAUAGACCUUUGAAAGCAAGUCUUGCAGAUGCAACUAUGUUAUUAUCGUUUCUGGUGCCCAAACUCUUAUCUGUUAUUUCUUAAAACAAUUUCAUUUCUACUUCAAGCCAGUAUUUCUAGGCUUCUUUAGGAUGACUUAAAACAGAUCAGUGAUUUGUUUGUUUCUCAAAACUUCAACUCUGCCACAUUCAAAAUCCCCUUUUGCUCUCAGUACCUCUAUAAUAAGAAAUUAGAGCAGUAUUGAAAGGAAACCACCAGUUGCUCAUAUAUAAUAUUUUGAAAUCUUUGUACCUCUCACUUAGAACAAAACUGUUAGGCUUAAAAUGAUGACAGUUAAAUUUUAGGGAUUGUUUUCUUCUACAUUCAUCAUGGAACACAGUCAGCUUCAUCUCUCUCAAUUAAAGGAAGACGUACAUAGCACUGAGACAAAAAUAGGUUCCCAUUCUUGGCAUCGUAGUUGUGGAAGCCUGACUGAGGCUUAGAAAGGCAACUCAGGAAUGAGGAGACCUACAGGAGCUAGCCAUGGCCUUGUGCAGGCUGCUCCUAUGUCUCCUGCUCUUAGGGAAGAGACUUAGGACUCAGAAGGCUUUCCCAGAGCCUCAUAGGAAGACUUGGUGUUCUCCACCUCCUCUAUGAGCUGGAGCCACUGGCCUAGCUUGAACUGAAGGCAAGUUCCCCAGACUUCCUCCUUAACUUGCCUACCAACCCCCUGUACCCACUCAUUAGUCAGGCCCAAUUCUCUCCUUACCUCUACUUCCAGGGAAGCUCCUUGUUUCACCUUAUUCUAUAUUGAAAUCCUAUAUACAAAGGAUUUUCUUUUAUGUUUUCUUAAGUAAUAUUUCAAUAUUUUAGUUUUGUGACCUCUCAUCUGACAUUUAAGUAUGUAGGCAUAUCUCUUACAUUUGUUUGAUUACUGCACCUCUGACCAAGAAUGAUAAUGGAGUCCAGUGAUGGUUUAAAUAGAUGGUGAUUGUCUUGAAGGGAAAGACCAUGUCUGAAUAAUCUUUGUACCCUACCCUAUGUUCUUAAAACAUAGCAGGGGCCCACAGCAUAGUCAGUGAGUACAUGACAAACUUAUCCUCUUUGCUAAUGAAGAAUGCCAUAGUCCUUAUCUGCUUGUAGCUCAAAUGAAAGCUGACCUCAGUCAAUCUGUAGUGAUGAACUAUAUGUAAAAUAUUGCAUCUUGGACCCACUACUCACUAUGUGUCUUAGAAAAGUCUUGCAUCUUGAACCUACUGCUAUGUAUCUACUGCAAAGCUGCAGGGGACUGAAGACUCAGAAACUUAUUAGUGUCAGCCUUCUAAUCAGAAUUUGGAUUGUGAUUUGAAAGAAUGCCAAGUUCUAUUUGAGUAUUUCUAUUUUGCUCACAUUCCCUGAGUUAUCUAGUAGCUUAAUGUUGAAUUAUACAAGACUUGAUUUAUAAGCAUAUCUCUAAUGCUAUAUGUUAUAGUUUAUUGAAAAACAAACUAACAACCAAGACUUGAGUUCUUUGGUCAACCAGAACAGACUCUUUUCUGAGGAUUAUGUUGCUUGCUGGAGGGUUCUUCUGUUGACUCACCACAGCAUUUCUCAGGAUAGCCAAUUCUGAGAGUGCUGUAGACAAGACUGCAAAUGGUUCCCCUUAGAACAAGAGAAAGGAUUAGCACCUUCAGUCCUGCAGAAUCUGUUCUGGCUGGGAGGGGGUCUGCCAGGAUGGAGUACUCCUGCUUUCACCAUUUGUGUUUCACAUUUAAAAACUGGGCUACUGAAUCAUGUUUUACUCCCCAAAUAUCCAAAACCGUGAUCGAUUCAGUGGCAACUGAGAAGAAACAUCCCCAUUAACUGAUAAACUUUUGUUAAACAGAGCAAAAUGCUAUCCAUAUUUCAAAGGUUAAUAAAUAUCAAUGGGUCUUUACUAGGGAGAUGGUGGUGAUAAUAAUGUUACAUACUGUUAUGGUCUGAGAAUUUAGAAAUAAUCCACUGUGAAAACCAAGUUUGAGCCAAUAAAGUUUCUUUAUUCAAAAAACUGAUAUAUUAGGGAAACAGGUGGGUUCAGGAUCAAAACAUUGUCAUGGGGUGGGGGAAGACAGAGCAACCAUUUAAAACAAAGCAGAGCAAAGCAGAGCAGAGCAGAGCAGAGCAGAGCAGAGCAGAGCAGAGCAAAGCUCACAAAUUAGUUGGGAUGUGAGCAACCAGUUGGGUAGAUUCAUAUGUUGUAAAUUUCCAACCAUUUCCACACCUGGCACCUGAAGUGGCUAAUUAUCUAUUGAGUACCUCAGACAACUUUUAUGAUAUCUUGGCCUGGAUUGAGGCCAAGCAGAGCCUCUUUAUCAGCUGCUAGGUUUCAGUUCUGGCUGGGUCCUAAGCAACAAAACAUACAGUAAGGUAUUCUCUUGAGGUACCUGGGACCAGAAGCUGUUCUAGAAAAUCAGUUAUUUCUUAGAAUGCAGUCUAGUACAAGGUGGAAACUAUAUACAGGAUGUGAUCCCUGAGACUAAAGUGGUCUCUAAGAAUAUUAGUGAUUUUUCUCCUAGUAUUGAAUAGAAGCUAGUGCUCCCUGAGAGUCCCAACUUGGUGUUGGGACUCUGCUUGCUUAUUUAAUGAUUUCAAAACUAUGUCAAGAAUUCAAGUGAGAAAAACUGUUCUUUGUAUAUAUGUCACUCAAGUUUUCCCCAAUAGUCAGUCUUAAAAAUGUACUUCCAUUAUUUGCAGAAUCUGGCUUUACUUAACUUACCUAGUCUCACCAUACCAUUUGCUGAGGAUUUUCAAGUUCUUCCAGGCUAUUACAAACUACACUGUUGAUUUUCAUAGUGUGGAGCCUGGGUUUAGUCCAUGCUUAUUUCUUUCCAGGUUUGAACAAUAUUCUUGUGCUGGAUUCUUCUAACUAGUGACAUAUGGUUAAGAAUAUGGCUUAUGUAAAAUUAAGUAAUAGACAUAGUAUGUGUGGAAAACUUUGCUCCACAGUGGCACAUAUUUGCACUGAUGGAAAAUUCUCAGAAGGUGACACUCAUUCUGAAUUCCUAGAGUCACACAUGAAGAGGCUCUCCACAAGAAACUUAGAGCACAGGAAACAGUCAAGGCAUGAUUCAGAGUAGUCAUGGUUGAGUGGUCCAGGUAUCAGAAGUAUCAGAAGACAGGUCAUACUGUGAAAAUUAUAAUUUUUAAAAUAUUCAAGAAGAUUUAUUGUAAACAUGUUAAUGGCACCAUAAUAUUAAUAUAUACAAUAGAAAAACUAACAUUUAUUAAAGACUUCUUUGUGCUAGGUAAGAUCCUAGAAGAGACACAUUGAAAUCUCCUCAAUCAAUACCAUGUUUACUUAUAGGCCACACAAUGCUCUGUGCACAGGUGUAGGAGCAGUAAAUAAUACCCAGAUUCUCUUCUUGUGGAACUUACAUUCUGAUAUGACAAAUGCAAGUUCAUUAUUCCCCCUUUUCAAAGUGAAAGGAAACAGUUUAAAAUUGCCCCCUAGACAAAAGUUGAAGCCAAAAGCAGGCCCUGGAACUGCCUAUUCCAGGAACUAGCUGAUCACAGAAAGAGUAAUUGCACCAGCUGGUUCAGCCACUUUGUUCCAGGAACUAGCUAACCAUAACAGCAGCUGACCAUAAUAGCAGGAACUGGUUAACCAUAAAGUUAGAUUAAAAUUUUAAAGAACAAUCAUGAGAAACAGGAGGUUCUUCCUUGUGAUUCGAUAUGGUUUUUCCUUUAAAUACCCCUUCUUCCAACCAUUUAAAGUCAAACUCCUCUGCUUCUGUGUGGGAUAUGAGUCUCUACCCCAAUGCACUGGUUUCUGUAGUCCCUGUCAAUAAACCUCCUGUGAUUGCAUCAAGAUUGGUCUCUUGUGAAUUCUUGGGGGGGGGUCUCGUCAUCCCGAGACCUGAGUGAGGGUCUUCCCGCUCCUGGGGUCUUUCAAAAGCAUUUACUACCUCUCUAAGACAUCUGGAUCUAUAAAUUGAAAAACAGGUAAAACAUCAAUAGUAAAUAUUUUCAACAACAGAUGUAAGAAAUGUUGCUAGGAGUCUUCAUACAAUGUGGAAGGAGCUCUUCAUAACCAAGAAACUUUCCUUCAACUCCUCUUUUUGAUAGCUCCUUCAGCCAAGAAGUCAUUGCACUUUAUUAUUAUUAUUAUUAUUAUUAUUAUUAUUAUUAUUAUUAUUAUCUCCAUGCAAUAAGCAUAAUAAUGACUUUAUAAGUACAUGCUGAUGACUAAAUCAGAAUAUAUGUGUACAUCUCUUUAUAGAGUGGAUAAGGUGGCAUGAAUCCAUGGAUGCUGUAACAAAGUAGGACGUUUGAUUGGUGCCUCCAUGGAUAGCAAGCUACAACUGACAGAGAACAAAAGAUGACUUGUUUAUCAAGGAACAGUCUUGAUGGGAGACAUGACUUUGGAAGAGCACAGACUCUGGAGUACAGUGAGCUGCACAAUUUGGAUGUAAUAGUGAGUUCAUGCAGAUAAGCAAGACAAAAGUCAACUGGAAUGAUAAGUAGCCCUUGGAUUAAUCACAAAAGAAUUUAUGGAAGUCAAAACAGAUCUCCCACAUAGACAGUGAAAGACAGUAUAAUUAGGUUAAUUAGCCAAGAUUGUAUCACUAACAGAAAAAGCAGAAUUCUGACAUCCAUCUGGCUCUCUCUCUCCUCGAUGGCCUUCCAGUUGUUAAGACAGUGUCUUAUCAUCCCCAUCAAUUUAUAGCUGAACGACCAUAGCCUGAUAGACAUUCCUCAUAAUAUAUAGCAUCUUUUCCACCCUAUCCUCUAGUUUAAGUGUUACAUUCAAGGCAAGAAAAAGUAAUUCUAAAAGCAAUUGGGGGAAUGAAAAACAAGGGGCCAUUUCUCAAAAAUGAGAUGGUGCUUUGCAAGAAUGAACUAACUUUAUGAUGCCAUCUGGAAAAUGUUUUAUAUUCCCAAUACAGUGCACUGAGCAUAAAUUAAAUUUGACUCACCAGCUCUGAGAUGCUUUUCUGUACCUUUCCAUAUGGAUGUGGGUCUACAGUAGUAGGUUAUUAGUCCUUGGUCAGGGCAUCUGGUGUGACUUCUCAAAAUAAAAAAAAAAAGAUUGUUGGGUGACUUCCAACAGUGCACAUUAAGUUAACUUUCAAAACUUUUCAGGGUUGAGCUGAUUGAGCUUGUUAGGAAAGAAACUACAUUUAGCUCUAAGACAGAGACUCUCCUUACCUUCCUGUGCUCUCUCUCUCUCACUCCUUUUAGCUCUUCUUUCUCACGUUUAUCAAGUACACACAAGGCAAUGUAAAAAUCUCAGACUUCAGAAUCUCAAAUGGUUUGAGCCUGCUACUGUCCAUCACACUCCUGCUGCUUUUUGUUUGUUUUUCAAUACAGAUUUCACAGUGUGGCCCAGGCUGUCUUGGAACUUGUUUUGUAGACUAGGCUGGCCUUGAACUCAGAGACCCUCCUGGCUCUGCCUCUGAAGCGCUGGGAUCAUAGGUGUCACACCUAGUGACGUCUUGCUGCUUUAAAUGACAGAUGUUGAGCAGUUCCUUCCAUACUAACGGCAGUCUUCAAUCUUUUGACAAAAUUAUUUACAAUUGGAUUUUGGAAUUACAAACUGAAAAAAAAAUCUUCCUCAAAUUUUGUAAUGGACCCAAUGUUAAGACAAGUAGAAAAGGUUUUGACUCCUAAAUAAAAGAAACUUCCAUUAAUUUGGCUAGGAAUUCAGGCAAAACUAACUUUGCUUUAUAAAAAGGUUCCAAGGAAACUUCUAAAGAGGAACAUUUAAUUUUCGGCAAAGGGUAAAUUGCUAUCAAACAAUUAAAAGCACCAGUUUAUGGGAAAACAACUGAUAUGUUAAAUACCAACCAUUCUUCUCUGUUUAUUGAAGGACCUUCUCAAUAACUUUUCAUGACAUUUAAUUAGCUUAACUUGAAUUGCUUAAUCUAAUUGAAAUGACUGGAAUUGUGUUUCUUUUAAAAAUUAUUAAUUGAAACACCCUCCCCCAUUUAGUCUAGAAACAGUGGUAAUUUAUAAAAAUCUAUUCUUUGACAUCAAUUCUAAUGGUGAGAGCACAAGUAAAGCAGGAGAAUUGAUUUGGUGGCUUGUUAGUUAUUUGAACAAUUUCUCCCUAUUCUAAUGUCAUUUAACAUAGUUAAUUUAUGUUAUGUGUGAGUGUAUGCAUGUGCAUGUGUGUGUGUGUGUGUGUGUGUGUGUGUGUGUGUGUGUGUGUGUGUGUGUGUGUCCCUACAUGAAUUUAUGUACAUCCUAUGUGUGCAGGAAAACAUAGAAACCAGAAGAGGUCCCAGAGUAAGAAUUAAAGGCAAUUGUGAUCUACCUGAUAUGACUAUUGGGAACUGAAGCUGGGGCCACUAAAUGGAUGGGCAAUUAAGUUCUUUUAACUGCUGAGCAAUCUCUUCAGACCUUUAUCUGCAUAUUUAUUUGACAUGGGAAACCUCCUCACCAUCUGGCCUGAAAGAGUAUAGCCAUUGCACUGACAAGACAUUAAAGAUCGAGUUUGGCUGAUAGGCUGCAUUUUAAAUCAAAAAUAUGAUGAGGGAGAGCAAAGCUUGAAAUAAACAUCUGAAAUUAAACAAUUGAAAGUGAAAUGAAGAUAGAUAUUUAUCUAGCAGACUAGACUCCUUGCAUGUUUAGUGUGCACCAGAUGCUGUUCUGUAUGUGUGAGUGUGAGUGUGAGUGUGAGUGUGUGUGUGUGUAUGUGUGUGUGUGUAUGUGUGUGUGUGGUCCAUUCUGUGCACACACAUUCCAUUAUUACAAUUGUUAUUCCUGAUGUAGACAUUUUUAUAACUCCAAUCGACAAAUGAAGAAUGGAGUCACAGAUGGGUUGAUUGUCACUGCAGGGCCAGGAGCUGCUGCCAGACUUGAUUUUAUAAGUGCGUAUAGAAGCAGAGUGGUUGGAGUGCGGGAAACUCAGCCUUGGAGUGUCACUCAGGGUAAGGGCAUGGAUUUCUCAUAUACUUCUCAGCAUUCUCAGUCUCCUAUAGGCUUCAGGAGGGUGGAGGGUCCCAGGCAUCUCUGCUAGUCCCCUUUCCUCAUCUGCAGUUUCUCAGGUGACCUCCUCCAUCUUUACUCUUUUACUCAGCAUCUCUGACUUCCAGCUCCCAAUCUCCAAUGACACUCUCCAGGACUUCCUUCAGAUGCCUUGUUGUCCUCUUGUGGUUUUAUGCCACAACUGUCAGACAACUUAAAAUUAUAUAACCUCAAAUGGCAUAGCAUACUUGAUUUGUCUCCUUCAAAUUGAUUUUCUUUUCUAGUUUCAUGAAGUGAUAUAGCCCCCAUCCUUCACAAGAAACCCAAGAUUCAUCCUAUUUUACACAAACCUUUUCCACUUUAGCUUUGGGUCAGUCAGUUCUACGUUUCUAUAACAAAAUUCCUGAGAAAAUCAGAGCAGAAAAACUGACUAUGGCUCCUGGUUUCAGAGGUCUCUUCUGUGCUUGCCUGGCUAGUGGGUUCUGGCCAGUGGUGAAGUGGCAUGAGGAAAGAUCAUGGUGGUGGAAAGCUACAUCAUGGCAUCCAGGAAGCAGAGAGAGGGUCAGGAAGGGUCUUGGGAUUAGUUACAUCCUGCAAAGGGACAUAUCCAGUAACUUACUUCCUUCAUCCAGGCCCCACCACCUUAAUAGCCUAUUUAGUAUAAAGGCAUCAAUUGAUUAUGUUCUAAUUACUGCUCAAUAGGGAAUCAAUCCUUCAACACAAGAGCCUUUGCCAGAUAUUCUUAAUACUCAAAGCAUAAAAGGGUUGGACUUUUCCCAUCCACACUCACCCAGACUAUGCCAAACCACUCUCUGUUUUGUUUGAUGACAUUAGGAAUCUCUCACCAACUAUUUUCCUUUCUGGCCUGCCACAUAAACCUACUGUCUGGCCAGAAACAGGGUCUUAAUUUUAUAAUAUAUCCCAGAUCAAUUUACUCUACUUAAAACCUCAAGUAUCUUCCCACUGUGUCUAAAUUAGACUCAAGUGCUCAUUCAUAAAACCAUGCAUUAUCUGGGUUCUACCCAUAUCACUAACUUCAUCACAACCAUUAGUUUUCUUCCAUAUACUUUUCCAUCCAUUGAGUGUCUAACUUAGGUCUGAUAUUUUCAAGCCUACUUCUGUUUUGGAGUUUUGCCUAGCUUUUCCUCCUUGUAGACUCACUAUAUAGUGGGGCUCUUGUGUUAAUUUCUACUGUAAAUGCCAUCAUUUCAAACACAAACAUAAAACAAACAAAAAUACAAAACUUUUCUGAUGUGACACAGUUCCAUCAAGGCAUCCCUUUUAUUCUUUACACUGAGUUAUUUAUAACCUGUUUUAAUUUUAUUCUCCCUCCAUGCUAAGGGUUGUAUAGCUGUUCUUCUUCAAAGCUAGUUCGUUAUUGUUGGCUUUUCACUGCCAACUAGAAUGGAGUGGUAGGGAAGGUUUUCCCUUUCACAGGUGGAUACACCUUUUGUAGGCCCUGUUCCUGGACACUUCCAUUGGCAGUCUCCACCCCUAGAUGGAGAAGCAGCGCCUGAUCCCACAAGGGCCAAGCCAGAGGUCAGACCCCAACCCUGAGGAGCUCCAAUGACUAGGCCUUGUCCCUGAGGAGCUCCAGUGGUCACACUCUGAGACUUCUCUUACAGUUGUAAUUGUUGUCCCCAGCCCCAGCCCUUGAGGGAGGAGAGUGGCUAGGCCUCACCACUUCCAAAAAAGAAAAAAAAAUCCCAUCAAUCCCUGAGCUUGUCCCAAGAUCAGCUUUAAAAUCCCAGGGUAUCCUAGAAAGUACCCCCUGUGGCCCCCCUGCAAAGAAUUUGUAUAUGAACCUCGUCUUCUGCUCAGUUCUCUGCUGCUUCUAGACUUAGUAGAGGCAGAUGCCCUCCUGUGUUUUUCCCCCAAUGCAAAUAUUACCAGCUCUAAAUUGAAAGGUAUCCUGGUAGUUGGGAACCAAGGAAACCACAAAAUCACACUGCAUAACACAUCCUCAGAGUUAUUAGGAGGGACCUUUAGGAAGUAGAUAUGGUGAGAGGUUUUAAGCUAUUCUGGGUGUUAGAUAUAAUAAUGGACUCCUGGACAAAUCACAUCACACCAGCACAGGUCCCACGUGAGAGGCUUUAUUAUCAGAGAUACCUGUGGGUGAUGAAAGGGAAGAAGUGAAGAAUCAAGAGCUUCGAUGGGCCGGGGUAUGUGUCUUUUUAUCCAGGAUGUGACACAGGUAACACAUGCGCAGAGGUGUGUGCGACGGCUGCCAUGGCAAUGGACACAGGAGCAGCACUGUCUCCUAGAGAUGAUGUCUUUGCUGGGUUUAGGAGCUGGCUGUAAACAGCUUCUGGCUGUCCAUGGAUGGUCUUGAUGCUAACACUGUUCCUUAUUUUCUUAUAAAGAAUCGAAAAAUGGGAGGAAGGCCAAUGGGGGGUGGGGGGCGGUCGGAUCUUUUAGCCUGCUUUCUGCUGUUUAGAGAUUUCAUCAAUUUUGGGGUGUAGCUGACUUUCAGCACCAGGGUCCACUUGAUAGUCAAGUGGGCCAGACUUCUCUGUGAACAGUGGCUGGUAAUCCUCUAAAAGGAACUGAUUAAUUGGUUAGCAAUUUUUUGAAUUUAUCAUCGGAAGAAUGUGGAGAUGAGGUUAAUGAGACAGGGGGCAAAUAGUAAAGCCAGGGAAAUGAGAAGAGGCAUUAAGAAGGGCAGUAUCCAUUUCCAUAUAGAGUUUUCAAAAAGCCAGAUAUUAGAGGCCUUACAUUGUUUCCUACAUCUCUCAAUAUGAUUGUAGCUGCUGGAUUAUUUUUUCUCACUAUCCCAGAUUCAUUGACAUAGAAACAACAUUCUUCUUGGAGAGACAGACAAAGAACAUCUUUAAUUGUAAGGACAUCUAGUCCCUAUCAGUUCUAAAGUACCACUGCUGCCAAAGAAUCCAUCUACUUUUGGAUGGUGAGAUAAUUUGGGUUCCUUCUUGAAGACCAUUGUCAAAUUGAGAAGAGAACUUAUUGUAUAGUCAGUCCUGCUAUUCCAGUGCCAGCACCUACAGUUAUUCCUGAAUUGACCAGGAAUGGCAAGACCUGAACUGCCCUCUUGUUAUGUUUACAAGGCAUUGUGUUUACAACUGGGAUUGGUAGAGGUCUUUUGUGUGUGUGUGUGUGUGUGUGUGUGUGUGUGUGUGUGUGUGUGUGUGUUGCUCCUAAUUCAGGGAAAAAGAACACCAAGAUGAAAACUCCUGACCAACUGACUGCCAGGUAGAUGAUGAUAUAUCUGAGUGCCAUAGAUAAUUGAUGUGUUCUGGACUGCAGGAGACUGUGGUAUCAAGGGUUCUGGUUCUACUGCAAUCUAGGGAGCUUAGCAUUCCUACAGAUUGUGUCCCAUGUGAUUUAAAACAGUCUGCCACACCAAAAGGAGAGAUAGAGAAAAUGUUUGGGGUCAUGGCAACAUCAGAGUUGGGGCAGCUGAUAAAAGCUGAGGUGAGGUUGCUCCGCAGGAUCACUGGAGAAGUAAGUACUUUUUAGUUAGUUAGUUUAGUUAGUUAGUUUAGUUAGUUAGCUUAGUUAGUUAGUUACUUUAGUUAGUUAGCUUAGUUAGUUAGUUCCAGGGUGUAUACAUAGUCAGUAAUCUUUAAAAUGACCAGGUCAAGUGAUGUUAAGCAGUUGGCAGGCUGAGGUCAGGGUCUGAGGCAGAAGGCAAAAUGACAGGUUAGUACCGUUUAUGAGGGGGGGGAUGUCAAGGAAGUAAGAACCUCAGAAGAAUGCUUGAUUACUUCUAUUUUUUCUAUAUGUAGAGGUUGGACAAUUGAAACACAUUUUCUCUGGAUGUGAGUAGUACUCAGUGGGACCCAGAUUGGUUUUUAUGAUAGAGCUUACCAACAACACUUGUUUCCCACAUGGGAUUCCAUGGGGCUUGGAUAUAGACGAAGAGGGUUUUGUGUUGUUGAUAGAAGAAGUGAUUGGUUGGUUUGUAGUCCUGUUAUAUGUAUCUGGCAAGACCAAUAUGGACAGUCUCCAUAUUCAUCUGGUCAAAGAGGAAGCAAACAAAGGAGUUUUACCCAAUCGAGGUGAGGUUCCUGUGAUAGUUUGACAAGUAGUUUUUAGGGAGUGGUUAGUUCUUCUGCCUUUUCUGAAGACUAGGAGUGAUAGGUAAUAUGAAAAUUCCAGGGGAUUUCUAGAGCUUUAGACAAAGUUUGAGAAAUUUGGGAAGUGAAUUCAGGGCCCUUGUCUGACUAGAGGGAGGCUGGAACACCAAAUCAGGAAAGUAUCUCAGAGAUCAGCAGAGACUUUCUGAGCUCUCUUGUUGGUGGUGGGGAAUGCCUUCGCCCACACUGAGAAGGUGUCCACCAAGACCAGGAGGUUCUUGAUACAGCUGACAGUGGACAUAGCCACCUGGUUCUAGGAGGGGAACUUCUAGUCUGAUGGAUAGAAAAAGGGGUGCUACGAUACCUGGAGUUAGAGUCUGACAUCUGACAGAUUUUGCAAGAGGCAGAUAUAGAUUUUAAGAAACAUAAGUCCUUAGGAGUAGGCUGUAGGUGGGUUUUUAUAAAAUAAGACAAGUAGCUAUUAGGAUGGUGAAGAAAGGACAGAGUGUCUGGGGGUGAGAGAGGAGGGGUUGUGGGUUGUAGUGGAAGAAUGUCCUGGGGAGAGUGAGAUGAGUCUAGGAUCCUAAAGGCCACAGCUCAAGCUGCCUCAUCUGCUCAGGUUUUUCCCUUGGAGACAAUACAGUCAGCUGUCUGGUGGGAUCUACAGUGGACAAUUCCAAUACCUGGGAUACCUCUCAGUCUAAUGGUCUAAUUCACAGGCUAAACUGGGCCCCUAUACCCAUCAACCAAUAACUCUACAUAGCGACUUAAAGAUGUGUUUACAACUCACCAGUGAUCAAGUGAUCCAUAGGCCCUUCCCCUUCAUUUUCUCGCUGCUUACUCUCUGCUCUUCUGCUUGCUCUCUGCUCUCAUUCCCAGCCCCAUGAUUCUGCCACUGCAGCACACUGACACCCUGCCCUGCUUGCUUGUCUCCAGUUUAUACGGAGCUGCCUCCACUCCAUAGCCCCGCACUCUUGGGCUAUGUCGGGUUCUUUGCUCUGCUGCUUGUCAAAGUCACUUAGCAAUUAAGACAAGGUUUGUAUUCUAUCUUGCCUUGGUAAAUAAUGAUUUGUAAACAGUAAAAGGUUAAAGAUCACUGCCUUAAAUAUACAUUUAGCUUUGUUUUUGCUACUGCCAUUAAACUACUUUGAGCUCUCUGUAUUUGCUAGAUACACUCUCAAACAAGUAAUUAAACAAAUGCAGGUUGUUUAACUCAGAUAUACUUAAUAGAAUAGCUCUCAAUCCUGUCCAAAAAAUCUGCUAAAUGUAAUGUUAAAUGUUUGAGCUUGUGACAGAGACAUGCAAAGCCUAAUAGAGACCCUCCAACAUCUCUGAGAAGACAUGGGCACAGCGACAAGAUUCUACCUGGAUUGUCGUUAGAUGACCACUGAGAAACACUGCUGAAUGAUUGCUUUGCCCACUGCCAGGGCUUGGCCUACACUGUGGACAAACAGAGGAUACCCAGAGAGUUAAUGUUUCAUAUUGUCCAAGUCAAGAUUCUGAAGCCAAUUGAAGCAGCCUGGAGAUGUGAGCCCACCUCAGCAACAGACAACUCACAGUAAAGUGGGCUUUGAUCCUAACCCAAUGCUGUGUUCGUUUCACUAGGCUAUGAGCUCAGCAUAUUCACAAAACAGUAUUUGUGGCACUAGGUGUGUCACAUGUUGACAUGUGAUCACGUUCGGAGGUGGCCAGAAUCCUGCAGUGCAUAACCAUAGGCCCAUGGCUGUGGAUGAAACACUUGAACCUGAAGUGUCCCAAAGGGAUGCUUAGGGGAAUGGAUUAGCCUUGUUAUGUAUGCCUCUGAUUAAUGCUGAGCAAUGUACCAAGAGCAGGUUUGACAUAAUUUGAACUUGGAUUAUCCUUCAGUGUCACAAUAACAACAACACAUCAACAGCAGACUUAUAGAACCCUGGCUUUACAGUGUCAUCUAGAUUUAGAGUAGAGGAUUGAUUUACAGGGUAGAAGAGGAUAAUAGACAGCUAGAAAAAUCACCAAGGCUAGAACAUACGCCUGAUCCUUUAAUGCCCAGAUGGCAUGCGCAUCAAGCUUCAGGCAAUUUUGAUCUUAACUGAUAGUCAAUAUAAGCUGCCGGAAGCUGACCAAAGGUAACUAGUGUGCAUUAAUUUCUGGUUGAGAUCUUUUAUGGCAGCUCAACCCCACAAACAGAUAAUAAUUUGAAGCUUAGUAAGU